GACGAACGCUGGCGGCGCGCCUAACACAUGCCAGUCGAGCGAUGAAAUUUUAACCGAUCUCUUCGGAGAGAAGAUAAAAUGGAUUAGCGGCGGACGGGUGAGUAACACGUGAGAAACCUGCCUUUCACAAGGGGAUAGCCUCGGGAAACCGGGAUUAAUACCCUAUGACACAUUUCCUUCGCAUGGAAGAAAUGUUAAAACUCCGGUGGUGAAAGAUGGUCUCGCGCCUGAUUAGCUAGUUGGUGGGGUAACGGCCCACCAAGGCCAUGAUCAGUAACCGGCAUGGGAGGGUGAACGGUCACAUUGGAACUGAGACACGGUCCAAACUCCUACGGGAGGCAGCAGUGGGGAAUAUUGCACAAUGGAGGAAACUCUGAUGCAGCGACGCCGCGUGAGCGAUGAAGGCUUUCGAGUCGUAAAGCUCUGUCCUAUGGGAAGAUAAUGACGGUACCAUAGGAGGAAGCCCCGGCUAACUACGU
rnacentral:rRNA from 1 species